AUUGAACGCUGGCGGAAUGCUUUACACAUGCAAGUCGAACGAUGAAGUCUAGCUUGCUAGACGGAUUAGUGGCGAACGGGUGAGUAAUAUAUCGGAACGUACCUUGUAAUGGGGGAUAACUAGUCGAAAGAUUAGCUAAUACCGCAUACGCCCUGAGGGGGAAAGUAGGGGAUCUUCGGACCUUACGUUAUAAGAGCGGCCGAUAUCUGAUUAGCUAGUUGGUGGGGUAAAGGCCUACCAAGGCGAGGAUCAGUAGCUGGUCUGAGAGGACGACCAGCCACACUGGAACUGAGACACGGUCCAGACUCCUACGGGAGGCAGCAGUGGGGAAUUUUGGACAAUGGGCGAAAGCCUGAUCCAGCCAUUCCGCGUGAGUGAAGAAGGCCUUCGGGUUGUAAAGCUCUUUCGCAAGGGAAGAAAACUUACAUUCUAAUAAAGUGUGAGGCUGACGGUACCUUGAUAAGAAGCACCGGCUAACUACGUGCCAGCAGCCGCUGUAA
rnacentral:rRNA from 1 species